GCUAACGUAGCUUAAAUUAAAGCAUAACACUGAAGUUGUUAAAAUAGGCCCUAGAAAGCCUCGCAAGCA
rnacentral:tRNA from 1 species